rnacentral:lncRNA from 1 species
UUUUAUCAUUGGUUUGAGAUUAUCCCUCUACAUCAUGUCAUCUUGCUUAAGGCGUUACUCUGUUCCUAUGGACUUAAUAGACUAGAUGCAUGCUGGAUAGAGGUCGACGUGUGGAGUAAUAGUAGUACAUGCAGACAGUAUUGGUCUACUUGUUUUGGACGUGAUGCCUAUAGAAAUAAUCAUUGCAUAGAUAUCAUCACGACUUUGCGUGGUUCUAUCAAUUGCUCGACAGUAAUUUGUUCACCCACCAUCUACUUGCUUUCAUGAGAGAAGCCACUAGUAAACACUACGGCCCUCGGGUCUAUUCACAUCCAUCGUUUACACCUCCGCUUUUACUUUGCUUUGUUACUUUGUUGCUUUCAGUUCUCACUUGGCAAACAAUCUAUAAGGGAUUGACAACCCCUUCAUAGCGUUGGGAGCAAGCUUUUGUGUUUGUGUAGGAUCUUGUGAUACUCUUCCACCAGAUUGAUACCUUGGUUCUCAAACUGAGGGAAAUACUUACCACCGCUGUGCUACAUCACCCUUUUCGCUUCGAGGGAACACCAACGCAAGGCUCCAAGGCCACGGGGAAAAUCCUUUGCAUACUUUCCUAGGAAGUCUCUUAAGGCGUAGCCGCAACUGAAGGAUUCUUGGUGCCAUCAACACGACAAUUUCUGGCGCCGUUGCAAGGGAAGCACAACUGACAUCAAGGCAUCACGUCCAAGAUUAGUAGACGACCUCCUGCCUGCAUCUAGUACCAUUACUCCACACACCGACCGCUAUCCAGCAUGCAUCUAGGGUAUUAAGUUCAUGGAAAAUGAAGUAAUGCGAUAAGAAUGAUGACACGAUGUAGACAAGAUCUAUUUAUGUAGAAAUAGACCCUAUCUUGUUAUCCUUAAUAGCAAUGAUACAUAUGUGUCAUUUCCCUUUCUAUCACUGGGAUCAAGCAUCGUAAGAUCGAACCCAUCACAAAGCACCUCUUCCCAUUGCAAGAUAAAUAGAUCAAGUUUGCCAAACAAAACCCAAAUAUCGGAGAAUAAAUACGAGGCUAUAAUCAAUAACGAAUAUAAGAGAUCAAAGAAGACUCAAAAAACUUUCAUUGAUAAAAACAUAGAUCUGACCAUAAACUCAAAGUUCAUCGGAUCCCAACAAACACACCGCAAAAAUACUUACAUCAUAUGGAUCUCCAAGAGACCAUUGUAUUGAUAAUCAAGAGCUCUAAGUCGUUGGUGGGAAAAGUAUGCUUUUGGAGAUCCAUAUGUUGUAAGUCUUUUUGCGGUGUGUUUGUUAGGACCCGAUGAACUUUGAGUUUAUGAUCAGAUCUAUGUUUUUAUCCAUGAAAUUUAUUUGAGUCUUCUUUGAUCUCUUAUAUGCGUGAUUGAUUAUAGCCUCGUAUUUAUUCUCCGAUAUUUGUUUUUUUUUGGCUAACUUGAUCUAUUUAUCUGGCAAUGGGAAGAGGUGCUUUUUGAUGGGUUCGAUCUUAUGGUGCUUGAUCCCAGUGUCAGAAAGGGAAACGACAAGUACGUAUCGUUGCUAUUAAGGAUAACAAGAUGGGGUCUAUUUCUACAUAAAUAGAUCUUGUCUACAUCGUGCCAUCGUUCUUAUUGCAUUACUCCGUUUUCCAUGAACUUAAUACACUAGAUGCAUGCUGGAUAGCGGUCGAUGUGUGGAGUAAUAGUAGUAGAUGCAGGCAGGAGUUCGUCUGCUAAUCUUGGACGUGAUGCCUAUACAAUGAGCAUUGCCUGGAUAUCAUCAUGAUUAUUUGAAGUUCUAUCAAUUGCCCAACAGUAAUUGUUUUCCCACCGUUUGCAAUUUUUCUCGAGAGAAGCCACUAGUGAAACCUACGGUCCCCGGGUCUCUUUUCAUCAUAUUUGCCUUUGCGAUCUAUUUUCCUUUGCUUUUAUUUUCAGAUCUAUUAAACCAAAAAUACAAAAAUAUCUUGCUGCAAUUUAUUUGUUCCGCGAUCUAUUUAUCCUAUCUACCCCUUUUACCUUACGUUAUUUGCCUAUCUUGAGGCGCCAUACCCGAAAGGGAUUGACAACCCCUUUAACAUGUCGGGUUGUGAGUAUUUGUUAUUUGUGUGGAGGUGCAGUUUACGUGGUGUGAGGAGGUUCUCCUACUGGUUCGAUAAUCUUGGUCACAUCAGUGAGGGAAAUACCUACUGUUGCUAUACUGCAUAAUCCCUUCCUCUUUGGGGAAAUACCGACGUAGUUCUAGCAUACAUCAGGGAUCACCUUAUAAUGUUACCGUCGUCCUAAGCAAAAUAAGGUGCAUAAAAGGAUUAACAUCACAUGCAAAUCAUAAGUGACAUGAUAUGUCCAUGAACUUGUGCUUCUUGAUCUCCAUCAUCAAAGCACCGGAAUGAUCUCCAUCGUCACCGGCGCCACACCAUGAUCUCCAUCAUUGUGUUGCCAUCGAGGUUGUCGCGCUAACUAUGUUGUUACUACUGAAGCUACUGCCUAGCGAUAUAGCAAGAGCAUCUACGAGCGCAAAAUAAAUUUAAAGACAACCCUAUGGCUCCUGAAGGUUGUCGUAUCAUCAACGUGCAACUCGAUAUUUAACUAUUACAACAUGAUCAUCUCAUACAUCCAAUAUAUCAUAUCAUGUCUUUGGCCAUAUCACAUCACAUGCAUACGAGGGAAAAACAAGUUAGACGCCCUCUAAUUUGUUGUUGAAAAUUUUACAUGGCUGCUAUGGGAUUUACAAGCCCUUUAACACGCCGGUUUGCGAGUAUUUCUUAUUUGUGUGCAUGUGUUGUUUACGUGGUGUGAGGAGGUUCUCCUACUGGUUCAAUAACUUUGGUCUCAUCACUGAGGGAAAUACCUACAGUCGCUAUACUGCAUCAUCCCUUCCUCUUUAGGGAAAUACCGACGUAGUUCUAGCAUACAUAAUGUAUCUAAUGUAAUAUAACUUCUCCAUGGCUUAUAGCACCGAUACAAUCGAUAGUUCCAUCAAAACGAGCAAAACAAUGCAUCAAAAAACAAAAUGUGACAAAAACAGGACAGUCGUAGUAAUUUGUUCAUUAACCAUACUUAUGUAACUCUAAAACUUCUGAAAACUUAGGACGAAAUAAACAAUUUGCAUUUUAGUAAUGUGUAAAAAUUUCAGAAACUUUGAAAAUUCAAGUAAAAAAUGUAAAUUCACGCAUUACACCCAAAGUUUUUGUUUUUGCACUGCAUACACCAAACAAGCAAUCUAAUAUCCUAAAGGCAAAUCUUGGCACAUUAUUUUUAUAAUACAAUGGAUUUUACAAGGGGAUAAUUGUUUUUGUUGAAAAGUUUGUGUAAUUAAAAUUUGCAAAGUUUCCUUGGGCAUGAACAAAGUUCAAGGAGCUCCCCCACUUCAGCGGUGCUCGUCUUUCUUACUUUCACUUCUCUUUUUGAAAAAAAUUUAGGUUCCCCUCUUUAUUUGGGGGUUUUGUUUUUAAACUAUAUAAAAGCACACAACAAAGUAAAAUGACUUUCUAAAACAACCAGGUUGUCUCCUGGCAGUGCUUUCUUUAAAGCGAUUAAGCUAGGCAUAAAGUGCUCAACUAAUGGAUCCACCCGGAUCCCAAGGUAUAUCAAAGCCAAUUUUAAUUAACAAUGAUUUUUAAUUUAGUAGUGAGCACAAAGUAACAUAUAUAAUGCAACAACGAAGUCAAAAUCUCUUCCUAUGGAUCGGCAUGUCAUAAAAGAACAAUUCAUGCACACAAAGUAAAGGCCAAUGCAUAGUAUAAACAAUUUCUUGUAAUUUUAUCAUAUUGGAAACAUAUAGAGGUGGAGAUGUAGUUACUCUCUCGUAAUAACUGCAAGUAGGAGCAACAAACACAUGCAUAUUAUAUUCAUUAAAAUCAUCAUGUGUAAUGGUAAAACGCAACCCAUCAAUAUAAUCCUUAAAAGCGCAAACUUCUUCGAUAUAGUGUAGUUGGGAGAACUCAAAAAGAUAAUAGGACUAUCAUGCGUGGGUGCAAUAGCGACAAUUUCAUUCUUAACAUGAGGAACUAUAGCAAGUUAAUCUCGAUAAUCAUCAUUCAUAUUGGCAUCAUGGCCACAAGCAUAGCAAUCAUCAAGUUCAUCAAAAAGGAAUAUUUCAAACGAAUCGAAGGGAUCAUAGAAACUAUCAUAGCAUUCUUCCUUAGGUAAGCACGAAGGGAAAUUAAAAAAUGUAUGAGUUGAAUAGUUACUCUCAUUAGAAGGUGGACACGGUUAGCUAAUCCGCUCUUCCUCCUUUUGUUCUUCGCUCUCCUCCUCAUCUUUUUCAUCCAAUGAGCUCACAGUAUCAUCAAUUUCUUCUUCCAUAGUUUCCUGUAAAAUAUUAGUCUCCUCUUGGACAACAGAGGAGUCCUCAAUAUAUGGCUUAACAUAAGCAUUAGAAGCAUAGUUUUCAUAGCAAUAUUUAAGUAUGGAAAAACUUUUAGAUUUGUACAAAGUAGCAUCAUACUUUUAAAUCAAAGAAGCAAUUUCAUAGGCACCCUUAAAAGCAACAACCACUUCUAUUUGUUCCACAUCAUAGUAAUUAAAAACACCCUUGGCAUAAGAAAAUACAAUUUCAUUAUCCUUAAACUCACAUUGAUAGGGAAGGUGUUUUUAGGGUCUUUAGAACAACAAGUAAAAUCAUAAAUUUCGCAUAAAUUUCAAGCAUAGCAUUGCAAAGUAUUAAUAUGAUGCCAUAAAAAAUUUCCUUUUUGAGAUAAGCGUUGUCGUACAUAAUAAGCAUGCUCAUUUAAUGAUUUCCCUCAACUAAGCUAGUUGGGGUUUCAACAUGAUCACAAAAGGAUCGAAGAUGACCCAAGUAAUAUUCUUCGGUGGUACGGAACACUAGUGGUUCCUCAACUUUUGGAGCAGCAAGUACAUCUAAUUUUUUUGGUAUUUUAAGUUUCCUACCCAUAACUAAAGAUAGAAAAUAACUUAAGCGACAAAUAAAAUCUACUUAGUGAUAAAGCAAACAAGAACACACGAGAAUAUUCACCCCACGCUAUUGCUGCCCGAAAACGGCUCGAGAGAAAGGUCUUGAUAACCCACAAGUAUAGGCGAUCAAUUGUAGCCUUUCUCGAUAAGUAAGAGUGUCAAACCCAACGAGUAGUAAAGGUAGAACAAAUAUCUUCUCAAGUUCUAUCGACCACCAAUACAACUCUACGCAUGCUUAACGUUCGCUUUACCUAGAACAAGUAUGAAACUAGAAGUACUUUGUAGGUGUGAUAGGCUAGGUUUGCAAGAAAAUAAGUACACGUAAAUAAAAACUAGGGGCUGCUAAGAUGAAGAAACAACUAAGUUAGUCUUAGUAGAGAGCUUUUUGUCACAAGAAGGUUAUUUGUCUCUAGGCAAUCGAUAACUAGACCGGUAAUCAUUAUUGCAAUUUUAUAUGAGGGAGAGGCAUAAGCUAACAUACUUUCUCUACUUGGAUCAUAUGCACUUAUGAUUGGAACUCUAGCAAGCAUCCGCAACUACUAAAGAUCAUUAAGGUAAAACCCAACCAUAACAUUAAGUAUCAAGUCCUCUUUAUUCCCAUACGUAAACAACCAACUUACUCGGGUAUGUGUUUCUUUCACUCACGCCACCCACCAUAGGCAGAUCAUGAACACAUUGCAACACCCUAAAAUGGGGAACCCUCACGCUUGUGCGACACGGAGAGCACCAUAGGACAACACCAAUAAUAAAACAUGGAACUCAAACCAAUCAUGAUCAUCAAUCAACCCAUAGGACAAAACGGAUCUACUCAAACAUCAUAGGACAGCCAUACAUCAUUGGGAAAUAAUACAUAGCGUUGAGCACCAUGUUUAAGUAACCACUCACAAAGCAUAAUCAUAUUCAUGACCAUAGAGGUAAUGAGUAGCAUCAAGGAUCUGAACAUAAACUCUUCCACCAAGUAAUCCAACUAGCAUCAACUACAAAGAGUAAUCAACACUACUAGCAACCUUACAAGUACCAAUCGGAGUCGCGAGACGGAGAUUGGUUACAAGAGAUGAACUAGGGUUUGGAGAUGAGAUGGUGCCGAUGAAGAUGUUGAUGGUGAUGAGUCCCCUCUGAUGAGAGGAGUGUUGGUGAUGACGAUGGCGACGAUUUCCCCCUCCGGGAGGGAAGUUUCCCUGGCAGGAUCGUCGUGCCGGGGCUCUAGAUUGGUUCUGCUCAAGUUCCGCCUCGUGGCUGUGGCGAAACCACGAAAAAGAUCCUCCCUAAUUUUUUCCUGGACGAAACCCUCCAUAUAGCAAAAGAGGGGGGCAAGUGGGCCUGCAGGGUGCCCACAAGCCCUCAUGGCGCGACCAGGGGGUGGCCGCACCGUGCAGGCUUGUGGCCACCUGCACGCCCCCCUCUAGCACUUCUUCGUCCUAGUAUUUUUGAUAAAUCAGGAAAAAAUCCUCGUUGAUUUUUACGGCGUUUGGAGUUGCGCAGAAUAGGUAUCUCAAACUUGCUGCACUUUUAGGCCAGAAUUCCAGUUGCCGGUAUUCUCCCUUUUCAUGUAAACCUUGCAAAAUAAGAGAGAAAAGGCAUAAGAAUUGUACCAUGAAGUGAAAUAAGAGCCCAAGAAGCGAUAAAUAUCAACAUGAAAACAUGAUGCAAAAUGGACGUAUCACCUCCCUUCGGCAUGGUGCCGGGAAGAGGUCUCUUGACGCUCCCGAUCUCGGAAGCGCUGCGGCGGCGGAACAAUGGAGAAAUUCACGAUUCUGGAUAUGAUGGAAAGGUUUCCGGUUGGAGGGAUAAAUAUAGGCCAAAGGAGGGCGUCAGAGGAGGUGGGUCCCACACAGGCGACCUGUGGGCGCCACCAGGGGCCACACCACGCAGGGAGGCCGCCUAGGCAGCCCCUGGCUCCCCUCUGGCCCAUCUUCGGUGCUCAGGAAGCUUCCGUCACGCUGAUUUUUUAUAUAUUCUUCUCGGGAUUUUUGGGACUCUGUAAAUUUGGGUAAAAGUCCCUGCAAAAAAGACAUCAGUAAACAGGAACUGGCACUGGGUGCACUGAGUUAGUAGGUUAGUCCAAAUUUGUGUAAAAAGAUAUGGAAGAGUAGCAAAACAUAUAACAAUGUCAACCAAAAGAUCAUGGAACAAGCAGAAAUUAUAGAUACGUUUGGGACGAAUAAGGACUUCAUUUGAUAUAGAUUUUCUGCGAAACAAAAAACAUGCAACAAGCAGGAACUGGCACUGGGCAGUCAAUCAAUAUGUUAGUCCCAAAAAUAGUACAAAAGUUGCAAAAAGUAUAUGAAAGUUGUAGAAUAUUGGCUUGAAACAAUCAGAAAUUAUAGAUACGACGAAGACGUAUCAUGGAACAAGAGAGUAACUUAUUGGAAGUAAUACAUUUUGAUCUAUGCAAUCCAAUGAGUGCCGAGGCACGCAGUGGAUAUCAUUAUGUUCUUACUUCAUAGAUAAAUUGAGUAGAUACUGGUAUAUUUACUUGAUGAAACAGAAGUUUGAAUUAUUGAAAGGUUCAAGUAAUUUGAGAGUGAAGUGGAAGAUCGUCAUGACAAGAGGAUGAAAUGUCUACAAUAUGAUCGUAGAGAUGAAUAUCUGAGUUGUGAGUUUGGUACACAAUUAACACAAUGUAGAAAUUGUUUCACAACAAAUGCCGGCUGGAACACCAUAGUGUGAUGGUGUGUCCGAACAUCGUAGUUGUGCCCCAGUAAGAUAUGGUGCAUACUAUGAUGUCUCUUAUCGAAUUACCACUAUCGUUUGGGGUUAUACAUUGAAGACAACAACAUUCACUUUAAUAGGGCCCCGCGUAGUUUCGUUGAGAUGACACUGUAUGAACUAUGGUUUGGAGAAACCUAAGGUGUCAUUUCUUAAAAGUUUGAGGCUACGAUGCUUAUGACAAAAGGUUUUGUCCUGAUAAGAUCGAACCCAAAGCGGAUAAAUGCAUCUUCAUAGGAUACCCAAAAUAGUUGGAUGUACUUCCUAUCUCAGAUCCGAAAGGAAAGUAUUUGUUUCAGGAAAUGAGUCCUUUCUCGAGAAAUAGUUUCUCUCGAAAGAAUUGAGUGGAGGACGAUGGAACUUGAAAGGUUAUUGAACCAACACUUCAACCAGAGAGUGGAAGGGCGUAGGAAAUUGUUCCUGUGGCGCCUAUACCAGUUGAAGUGGAAGCUAAUGAUGGUGAUCAUGAAGAUUCAUAUCAAGUUACUUCCAUACCUCGUAGGUCGACAAGGACACGCACUACUCCAGAGUGCUACGAUAAUCAUGUUUUGGAGGUCAUGUUGCUGGACAACAAUGAACCUACGAGCUAUGGACAAGCGAUGGUGGGCUCGGAUUCCGACAAAUGGAUGGAGGCCAUGAAAUCCGAGAGAGGAUCCAUGUAUGAAAACAGAGUGUGGACAUUGGAGGUACUACUUGAUGGUCGUAAGACUGUUAAGUGCAGAUGGAUCUUUAAAAGGACGACAUACGAUGAUAUUGAAAGUCACCAUUUAUAAAGCUUGACUUGUUGCAAAGAAGUUUUCGACAAGUUCAAGGAGUUGACUACGACGAGACUUUCUCACUCGUAGCGAUGCUGACAGUCUGUUGGAAUUAUAUUAGCAAUUGCUGCAUUUUCAAUUAUGGAGUCUUGCAGAUGGAUGUUAAAACAUUGUUUCCUCAAUGGUUUCCUCGAGGAAAGGUUGUAUGUGAUACAACGAGAAGGUUUUGUCGGUCCUAAGGAUGCUAACAAGUAUGCAAGCUCCAGCAAUCCUUCUAAGGACUGGAGUAAGCAUCUCAGAGUUGGAAUAUGCGCUUUGAUGAGAUGAUCAAAGGUUUUGGGUUUAUACAAAGUUUAUGAGAAACUUGUAUUUCCAAGUAAGUGAGUGGGAGCGGUAUAGAAUUUCUGAUGAGUAUAUAUGGUUGACAUAUUGUUGAUCGGAAAUGAUGUAGAAUUUCUGGAAAGCAUAAAGGGUUGUUUGAAAGGAGUUUUUCAAAGGAAAUCCUAGAUUGAGCUACUUCAACAUUAUGCAUCAGGAUCUAUAGAGAUAGAUCAAGACGCUUGAUGAAACUUUCGAUGAAUACAUACCGUGACAAGAUUUUGAAGGAGUUCAAAAUAGAUCAGUCAAAGAAGGAGUUCUUGGUUGUGUUAUAAGGUGUGAAUAUGGAGUAAGACUCAAAGCCCGACCACGACAUAAGAAAGAGAAAGGACGAAGGUCAUCCCCUAUCCAUUACCGUAGGCUUUGUAGUAUGAUAUGUUGUGUACCGCACCUAAUGUGUGCCUUGCCAUGAAUCUGUCAAGGGGUACAAAAGUGAUCCAGGAGUGGAUUACUAGACAACGGUCAAAAGUUAUCAUUAGUAACUAGUGGACUAAGGAAUUUUUCUCGAUUAUUGUAACGCCCAAGAUGCGAUCCUAUCCUUAUUUAGGCACGAGGGCCUCGACAGGUAUAGAAGCGCAUCUCAUCAUUUUGCAAGAAUGGAUAUCGUUACUACUACAUGUACUGGAAAUAUGAGAUAUAUGGAAUUUGUUGGGGAACGUCGCAUGGGAAACAAAAAAUUACCUACGUGCACGAAAACCUAUCAUGGUUAUGUCCAUCUACGAGAGGGGAUUUCCGAUCUACGUACCUUUGUAGAUCGCACAGCAGAAGCGUUAAUAAACACGGUUGAUGUAGUGGAACGUCCUCACGUCCCUUGAUCCGCCACGCGAACCGUCCCACGAACUGUCCCGCGAUCCGUCCCACGAUCUAGUGCUGAACGGACGGCACCUCCGCGUUCAGCACACGUACAGCUCGACGAUGAUCUCGGCCUUCUUGAUCCAGCAAGAGAGAUGGAGAGGUAGAUGAGUUCUCCGGCAGCGUGACGGUGCUCUGGAGGUUGGUGGUGAUCUAAUCUCAGCAGGGCUCCGCCCGAGCUCUGCAGAAACGCGAUCUAGAGGAAAAACUGUGGAGGUAUGUGGUCGGGCUGCCGUGGAAAAGUUGUCUCAAAUCAGCCCUAAAACCUCCGUAUAUAUAGGUGGGAGGGGAGGAGCCUUGCCUUGGGGCUCAAUAGGCCCCAAGGGGUUUGGCCGAUGGGGGGGGGGAGGAGGAUUCCUCCUCCAAUCCUAGUCCAACUAGGAUUGGAAGGUGGAGUCCUUCCCUUCCUUCCCACUUCCCCUUUUUUUCUUUUCUCUUUGAUUUUAUUAUCUCCUGCGCAGGGGCCUCUCUGGGCUUGCCCACCAGCCCACUGAGGGCUGGUGCGGCACCCCUAAGGCCUAUGGGCUUCCCCGGGGUGGGCUUCCCCCCCGGUGAACUCCCGGAACCCAUUCGUCAUUCCCGGUAACUCCGAAAACCUUCCGGUAAUCAAAUGAGGUCAUCCUAUAUAUCAAUAUUCGUUUCCGGACCAUUUCGGAAACCUUGGUGACAUCCGUGAUCUCAUCCGGGCUCCUUCGGUAACCAACCAUAUAACUCAAAUACGCAUAAAACAACGUCGAACCUUAAGAGUGCAGACCCUGCGGGUUCGAGAAUUUGUAGACAUGACCCGAGGGACUCCUCGGUCAAUAUGCAACAGCGGGACCUGGAUGCCCAUAUUGGAUCCUACAUAUUCUACGAAGAUCUUAUCGUUUGAACCUCAGUGCCAAGGAUUCAUAUAAUCCCGUAUGUCAUUCCCUUUGUCCUUCGGUAUGUUACUUGCCCGAGAUUCGAUCGUUAGUAUCCGCAUACCUAUUUCAAUCUCAUUCAUCGGCAAGUCUCUUUACUCGUUCCGUAAUACAAGAUCCCGCAACUUACACUAAUUCACAUUGCUUGCAAGGCUUGUGUGUGAUGUUGUAUUACCAAGUGGGCCCCGAGAUACCUCUCCGUCACACGGAGUGACAAAUCCCAGUCUUGAUCCAUACUAACUCAACGGACACCUUCGGAGAUACCUGUAGAGCAUCUUUAUAGCCACCCAGUUAUGUUGUGACGUUUGAUACACACAAAGCAUUCCUCCGGUGUCAGUGAGUUAUAUGAUCUCAUGGUCAUAGGAAUAAAUACUUGACACGCAGAAAACAGUAGCAACAAAAUGACACGAUCAACAUGCUACGUCUAUUAGUUUGGGUCUAGUCCAUCACAUGAUUCUCCCAAUAAUGUGAUCCAGUUAUCAAGCAACAACACCUUGCUCAUAGCCAGAAGACCCUCACUAUCCUUGAUCAACUAGCUAGCCAACUAGAGGCUUGCUAGGGACGGUGUUUUGUCUAUGUAUCCACACAUGUAUCUAAGUCUUCAUUCAAUACAAUUAUAGCAUGGAUAAUAAACGAUUAUCUUGACACAUGAAUUAUAAUAAUAACUUAUUUAUCAUUGCCUCUAGGGCAUAAUUCUAACAGUCUCCCACUUGCACUAGAGUCAAUAAUCUAGCCCUCACAUCACCAUGCGAAUUACAUUGUAAUAAAUCUAACACCCGUACAGUUCUGGUGUUGAUCAUGCUUUGCCCGUGGAAGAGGUUUAGUCAGCGGGUCUGCUACAUUCAGAUCCGUGUGCACUUUGCAUAUAUUUACGUCCUCCCCUUUGACGUAGUCGCGGAUGAGGUUGAAGCGUCGUUUGUAGUGUCUGGUCUUCUUGUGAAACCGUGGUUCCUUUGCUAAGGCAAUGGCACCAGUGUUGUCACAGAACAAGGUUAUUGGAUUCAGUGCGCUUGGCACCACUCCAAGAUCCGUCAUGAACUGCUUCAUCCAGACACCCUUCUUAGCCGCCUCUGAGACAGCCAUGUACUCUGCUUCACAUGUAGAAUCAGCUACGACGCUUUGCUUGGAAGUGCACCAGCUUACCGCACCCCCAUUAAGAAUAAAUACGUAUCCGGUUUGUGACUUAGAGUCGUCCGGGUCUGUGUCAAAGCUUGCAUCGACGUAACCUUUUAUGGCGAGCUCUUUGUCACCUCCAUACACGAGAAACAUCUCCUUAGUCCUUUUCAGGGACUUCUGGAUAUUCUUGACCGCCGUCUAGUGAUCCACUCCUGGAUUACUCUGGAACCUGCCUGCCAUACUUAUGGCCAGGCUAACGUCCGGUCUAGUUCACAACAUUGCAUACAUGAUAGAACCUAUGGCUGAAGCAUAGCGUACGAUGCUCAUAUGCUCUCUAUCUUUAUCAGUUGCUGGGCACUGAGUCUUACUCAAUCUCGUACCUUGUAAAACUUGCAAGAACAACUUCUUGGACUGUUCCAUUUUGAACCUUUUCAAAACUUUAUCAAGGUAUGUGCUUUGUGAAAGUCCUAUCAGGUGUUUUGAUCUAUCCCUAUAGAUCUUAAUGCCUAGAAUGUAAGCAGCUUCUCCUAGGUCCUUCAUAGAGAAACUUUUAUUCAAGUAAUCCUUUACGCUCUCCAAAAACUCCACGUUGUUUCCAAUCAGUAAUAUGUCAUCCACAUAUAAUAUUAGAAACGCCACAGAGCUCCCACUCACUUUCUUGUAAAUACAAGAUUCUCCAACCACUUGUAUAAACCCAAAUGCUUUGAUCACAUCAUCAAAGCGUUUAUUCCAACUCCGAGAUGCUUGCACGAGUCCAUAAAUGGAUUGUUGGAGCUUGCAUACCUUGUUAGCAUUUUUAGGAUCGACAAAACCUUCGGGUUGCAUCAUAUACAACUCUUCCUUAAGGAAACCGUUAAGGAACACCGUUUUGACAUCCAUCUGCCAGAUUUCAUAAUCGAAAAUUGCACCUAUUGCUAACAUGAUUCUGACUGACUUAAGCAUCGCUACGAGUGAGAACGUCUCAUCGUAGUCAACUCCUUGAACUUGUGAAAAACCCUUUGCCACAAGUCGAGCUUUAUAAACGGUCACAUUACCAUCAGCGUUUGUCUUCUUCUUAAAGAUCCAUAUGUUCUGAAUAGCCUUGCGGCCCUCAGGUAGUACUUCCAAAGUCCACACUUUGUUUUCAUACAUGGAUCCUAUCUCGGACUUCAUGGCCUCCAUCCAUUUGUUGGAAUCCGGACCCACCAUUGCUUCUUCAUAAUUUGCAGGCUCAUUGUUGUCUAACAACAUAAUUGAUAAGACGGGAUUACCGUACCACUCUGGAGUAGUACGCGGUCUUGUCGACCUGCGAGGUUCGAUAGGAACUUCAUCCGGAGUUUCAUGAUCAUCAUCAUUAACUUCCUCCUCAACCGGCGUCGCAACGACACGGGUUUCCCCUUGCCCUGCGCCACCAUCCAGAGGGAUGAGAGGUUCGACAACCUCAUCAAGUUCUAUCUUCCUCCCACUCAAUUCUCUCGAGAGAAACUCCUUCUCGAGAAAAGCUCCGUUCUUAGCAACAAAAACUUUGUCCUAGGAUUUGAGAUAGAAGGUGUACCCAACUGUCUUUCGGGUAACCUAUGAAGAUGCACUUUUCCGCUUUGGGUUCCAGCUUUUCAGGCUGAAGCUUUUUGACAUAAGCAUCACAUCCCCAAACAUUAAGAAACGAAAACUUUCGAUAUUUUGCCAUACCACAUUUCGUAUGGUGUCGUCUCAACGGAUUUUGAUGUUGCCCUAUUUAAAGUGAAUGCAGUUGUUUCUAAUGCAUAACCCCAAGAUGAUAACGACAGACCGGUAAGAGACAUCAUAGAUCACACCAUCUCUAAUAAAGUACGAUUACGACGUUCGGACACACCAUUACGCUGUGGUAUUCUAGGUGGUGUCAACUGUGAAACAAUUCCACAUUGUCUUAAGUGAGCACCAAACUCAAAACUCAGAUAUUCACCCCCAUGAUCAGACCGUAGGAAUUUGAUCUUCUUGUUACGAUGAUUUUCAACUUCACUCUAAAAUUGCUUGAACUUUUCAAAUGUUUCAGACUUGUGCUUCAUUAAGUAGACAUAACCACUUCUACUCAAAUCGUCAGUGAAGGUGAGAAACUAACGAUAUCCGCCGCGUGCCUCCACGCUCAUCGGACCACACACAUCGGUAUGUAUGAUUUCCAACAAGUCACUUGCACGCUCCAUUGUUCCGGAGAACGGAGUUUUAGUCAUCUUGCCCACGAGGCAUGGUUCACAUGUGUCAAGUGAAUUGAAGUCAAGUGACUCCAAAAGUCCAUCGGUAUGGAGUUUCUUCAUGUGCUUUACACCAAUAUGACCUAAGCGGCAGUGCCACAAAAACGUGGCGCUAUUAUUGUUAACUCUAACUCUUUUGGUCUCAAUGUUAUGUAUAUGUGUAUUAUCACUAUCAAGAUUCAAUAUGAACAAUCCUCUCACAUUGGGUGCAUGACCAUAAAAGAUAUUACUCAUAGAAAUAGAACAACCAUUAUUCUCUGACUAAAACGAGUAACCGUCUCGCAAUAAACAAGAUCCAGAUAUAAUGUUCAUGCUCAACGCAGGCACUACAUAAUAAUUAUUCAAGUUCAUAACUAAUCUUGAUGGUAACUGAAGUGAAACUGUGCCGACGGGGAUUGCAUCAACCUUGGAACCAUUUCCUACGCGCAUCGUCACUUCAUCUUUCGCCAGCCUUCGCCUAUUCCGCAGUUCCUGUAUCGAGUUGCAAAUAUGAGCAACAGAACCGGUAUCGAAUACCCAGGCACUACUACGAGAGCUGGUUAAGUACACAUCAGUAACAUGUAUAUCAUAUAUACCUAAUUUUUCUUUGGCCGCCUUCUUAUCAGCCAGAUACUUGGGGGAGUUGCGCUUCAAGUGACCCAUACCCUUGCAAUAAUAGCACUCCGUUUCAGGCUUAGGUCCAGCUUUGGGUUUCUUCGUCGGAUUGGCAACAGGUUUGCCGCUCUUCUUUGAAUUACCCUUCUUUCCUUUGUCGUUUCUCUUGAAACUAGUGGUCUUAUUCACCAUCAACACUUGAUGUUCUUUACGGAGUUCUGACUCUGCGACUUUCAGCAUCGCGAACAACUCGCCGGGUGACUUGUUCAUCCCUUGCAUGUUGUAGUUCAACACAAAGCCCUUAUAGCUUGGCAACAGUGAUUGAAGAAUUCUGUCAGUGAUAGCCUCUUGCAGGAGUUCAAUCCCCAGCUCAGCUAGACGGUUUGAAUACCCAGACAUUUUGAGCACGUAUUCACUGACAGAUGAAUUCUCCUCCAUCUUGCAAGCAUAGAAUUUAUCGGAGGUCUCAUACCUCUCGAUCCGGGCGUUCUUCUGAAAGAUAAACUUCAACUCCUGGAACAUCUCAUUUGCUCCAUGAGGCUCAAACCGACGUUGAAGUCCCGGUUCUAAGCCAUACAAGACUGCACAUUGAACUACUGAGUAGUCCUCCUUACGUGAUAACCAAGCGUUCUUAACAUCUUGGUCAGCCGGAGCGGGUGGUUCAUCUCCUAGCGCAGCAUCAAGGACAUAAUCCUUCUUCCCAGCUUGUAGGAUCAACUUAAGAUUACAAGCCUAGUCUACAAAGUUGCUUCCAUCAUCUUUCAACUUAACUUUCUCUAGGGAUGUAUUAAAAUUCAGGGUGAUUGUCGCGUGAGCCAUGAUCUACAACACAAAUAUAUUCAAAGUGGACUUAGACUAUGUUCAAGAUAAUUAAAGUUUAACUUAAUCAAAUUACUUGCUAAACUCCCAUUCAAAAAGUGCAUCUCUCUAGUCAUUUGAGUGGUUCAUGGUCCAAUUCCACUAGCUCAAGUCCGAUCAUCACGUGAGUUGAGGAUAGUUUUAGUGGUAAGCAUCCCUAUGCUAAUCAUAUCAACUAUAUGAUUCAUGAUCGAACUUUCAGUCUCAUGUGUUCCGAGGCCAUGUCUGCAGAUGCUAGGCUCGUCAAGCUUAACCCGAGUGUUCCGCGUGUGCAACUGUUUUGCACCCGUUGUAUGUGAACGUUGAGUCUGUCACACCCGAUCAUCACGUGGUGUCUUGAAACGACGAAUUGUAGCAACGGUGCACAGUCGGGGAGAACACAAUUUCGUCUUGAAAUUUUAGUGAGAGAUCACCUCAUAAUGCUACCGUCGUUCGAAGCAAAAUAAGGUGAAUAAAAGGAUUAAUAUCACAUGCAACUCAUAAGUGACAUGAUAUGGCCAUCAUCACGUGCUUCUUGAUCUCCAUCACCAAAGCACCGGCACGAUCUUCUUUGUCACCGGCGCCACACCAUGAUCUCCAUCAACGUGUAGCCAUCGGGGUUGUCGCGCUACUCAUGCUAUUACUACUAAAGCUACAUCCUAGCAAUAUAGUAAACACAUCUGCAAGCACAAACAUUAGUUUAAAGACAACCCUAUGGCUCCUGCCGGUUGCCGUACCAUCGACGUGCAAGUCGAUAUUAUCUAUUACAACAUGAUCAUCUCAUACAUCCAAUAUAUCACAUCACAUCGUUGGCCAUAUCACAUCACAAGCAUACCCUGCAAAAACAAGUUAGACGUCCUCUAAUUGUUGUUGCAUGUUUUACGUGGUGACGAUGGGUAUCUAGUAGGAUCGCAUCUUACUUAAGCAAACACCACAACGGAGAUAUAUGAAUUGCUAUUUAACCUCAUCCAAGGACCUCCUCGGUCAAUUCCGAUUCAACUAAAGUUGGAGAAACCGACACCCGCCAGUCAUCUUUGAGCAACGGAGUUACUCGUAGCUAUGAAACCAGUCUCUCGUAAGCGUAUGAGUAAUGUCGGUUCGAGCCGCUUCGAUCCAACAAUACUGCGGAAUCAAGAAAAGACUAAGGUGGGCAGCAAAUCACACAUCACCGCCCACAAAAACUUUUGUGUUCUACUCGAGAAGACAUCUACGCUUGAACCUAGCUCAUGAUGCCACUGUUGGGGAACGUCGCAUGGGAAACAAAAAAUUUCCUACGCGCACGAAAACCUAUCACGGUGAUGUCCAUCUACGAGAGGGGAUUUCCGAUCUACAUACCUUUGUAGAUCGCACAACAGAAGCGUUAAUAAACGCGGUUGAUGUAGUGGAACAUCCUCACGUCCCUCGAUCCGCCCUGCGAACUGUCCCACGAACUGUCCCGUGAUCCGUCCCACGAUCUAGUGCAGAACGGACGGCACCUCCGCGUUCAGCACACGUACAGCUCGACGAUGAUCUCGGCCUUCUUGAUCCAGCAAUACAGAUGGAGAGGUAGAUGAGUUCUCCGGCAGCGUGACGGCGCUCCGGAGGUUGGUGGUGAUCUAAUCUCAGCAGGGCUCCGCCCGAGCUCCGCAGAAACGCGAUCUAGGGGAAAAACUGUGGAGGUAUGUGGUCGGGCUGCCGUGGAAAAGUUGUCUCAAAUCAGCCCUAAAACCUCCGUAUAUAUAGGUGGGAGGGGAGGAGCCUUGCCUUGGGGCUCAAGAGGCCCCAAGGGGUUCGGCCGAUGGGGGGGGGGGGAGGAGGAUUCCUCCUCCUAUCCUAGUCCAACUAGGAUUGGAAGGUGGAGUCCUUCCCUUCCUUCCCACUUCCCCUUUUUUCUUUUCUCUUUGAUUUUCUUAUCUCCUGCGCAGGGGCCUCUCUGGGCUUGCCCACCAGCCCACUAAGGGUUGGUGCGGCACCCCUAAGGCCUAUGGGCUUCCCCGGGGUGGGCUGCCCCCCCGGUGAACUCCCGGAACCCAUUCGUCAUUCCCGGUACAUUCCCGGUAACUCCAAAAACCUUUGAGUAAUCAAAUGAGGUCAUCCUAUAUAUCAAUCUUCAUUUCCGGACCUUUCCGGAAACCCUCGUGAACAACAUUCGGUAACCAACCAUAUAACUCAAAUACGCAUAAAACAACGUCGAACCUUAAGUGUGCAGACCCUGCGGGUUCGAGAACUAUGUAGACAUGACCCGAGGGACUCCUCGGUCAAUAUCCAAUAGCGGGACCUGGAUGCCCAUAUUGGAUCCUACAUAUUCUAUGAAGAUCUUAUCCUUUGAACCUCAGUGCCAAGGAUUCAUAUAAUCCCGUAUGUCAUUCCCUUUGUCCUUCGGUAUGUUACUUGCCCGAGAUUCGAUCGUCAGUAUCCGCAUACCUAUUUCAAUCUCAUUCAUCGGCAAGUCUCUUUACUCGUUCUGUAAUACAAGAUCCCGCAACUUACACUAAGUCACAUUGCUUGCAAGGCUUGUAUGUGAUGUUGUAUUACCGAGUGGACCCCGAGAUACCUCUCCGUCACACGGAGUGACAAAUCCCAGUCUUGAUCCAUACUAACUCAACGGACAUCUUCGGAGAUACUUGUAGAGCAUCUUUAUAGCCACCCAGUUACGUUGUGACGUUUGGUACACAUAAAGCAUUCCUCCGGUGUCAGUGAGUUAUAUGAUCUCAUGGUCAUAGGAAUAAAUACUUGACACGCAGAAAACACUAGCAACAAAAUGACACGAUCAACAUGCUACGUCUAUUAGUUUGGGUCUAGUCCAUCACAUGAUUCUCCCAAUGAUGUGAUCAAGUUACCAAGCAACAACACCUUGCUUAUAGCCAGAAGACCCUGACUAUCCUUGAUCAACUAGCUAGCCAACUAGAGACUUGCUAGGGUCGGUGUUUUGUCAAUGUAUCUGCACAUGUAUCUAAGUAUUCAUUCAAUACAAUUAUAGCAUGGAUAAUAAACGAUUAUCCUGACACAUGAAUUAUAAUAAUAACUUAUUUAUCAUUGCCUCUCAGGCAUAAUUCCAACAGAAUUGGCUUAGACUCGCCACAUGCUACAUCAUAGUCACAUCAGUACAAUACAUAAACAUCAUGAAGAAGAGCAGGGUCCGACUACGGACGAAAACAAAUGAGAAAAGAAAACGACGUCCAUCCUUGCUAUCCCAAUCUGCCGGCCUGGAACCCAUCCUAGAUCGAUGAUGAAGAAGAAACUCCAAAUGAACAAUCAUCGCACUCACGUCUUAAUCACCUUACCUGUACCUUCAACUCGUAUUGUAGUAAUCUGUGAGCCACAUGGGACUCAACAAUCUCAUUUCCAAAGGUAUCAAGACUAGCAAAGCUUAAUGGGUGAGGUAUGGUUAAGUGAUGAGGCCGCAGCAAGCGACUAAGCAUUAUAUGAGGUGGCUACGUAUAGCGGAUGUGAACUACUGGUGAUCAAAUGAAUGAUCCUAAACACCUACUUACGUUAAACAUAACCCCAUCGUGUCCUCGAUCGGAGAAGGAACUCACAAAAGAGACAGUCACAGUUAUGCACUCAGUUGGCAUAUUUUAAUUAAAUUAACAUCAAGUUAUCUAAAACCAGAUGUUAAACAAAGUUUCCACGUUGCCACAUAACCGCGGGCAUGACUUUCGAAAGAUUUAACGCUGCAGGGGUGCUCCAUUUAGUCCAUCACAAAUUACCACAAGCCGAAUAGAAAUCCUCGAUCACGAAGCUCGCGAUCUCGUCGGACUCCUUAGUGGAAAACCUCAACUCUGAGAUUACCCAAAGUUUCACCGGAAUCCCGAUGCACAAGAUAUUUCGUACGUGUCAACGAACCCGAUAGGAGCCGCGUAUCUCGUUCUCAGGACACGACCGGAUGGGAAAGCAAACAGGUACCAAACCUCGAGUUCCCCGUGGUGGCCCCGCAGUCUGCCCUUUUUGGACCAACACUCAUGAGGAGCACUGCCCGGGGGUUGAUUAAUUACUCCGCGGGUGCCGGCGGGUCCCUAUGCAUUUAUUUAGUUAUCAGGCAAAUGUAAAACCAAAGUUGGGCCUUGCCAGACCAGGUUUAAUCUAAAACGAAUUAUCAAGGGGGUCCCCAUAACAACCCCGAUCGUGUUAGGAGCGCUCAAUUAUGGAAUAUAACACCGGUAGCCGAAACUAAGGGGGCAAAGGUGGAACAAAACACCAGGCUAGAAAGGCCGAUCCAUCCACCUUUUACCAAGUAUAUAGGUGCAUUAAAUUAAAUAGCAUUAAUAGGGUGAUACAACAAGGAACCCAUGUUACCACAUGGAAGCAACUGCACCUGCAACUAGCAACGCUAACACAUGGUUAAGCAAGCAGUAACAUAGCCAAUCAGUGGUUUGCUAGGUUGUGAACAUGUUGAAGGUUUCAUGGCAAUGUUGAGAGGCUGAUAUUUAACAGGUGGUAGGCAACGAGACAUAGCGAAAGAAACAAUAAAACUGGCAUGGCAUUGAUAGUAAUGGUAUCUAGGGAAAUGAUCAUCUUGCCUGGGAUCCAGCUUGGAAGAAGAAUGACGGAACUCUAUCGAGACGAAGCAAACCGAAAACAAGCAUCAACACAUAUAUUCACCACGGCACAUGCAUGACAAGAUGCAAUCCACAUAUGAUGCAUGAUCAGUUGAAUAUAUGCAAGACAUGACAUGGCAACUCACAACCAUCAAACACUACACAUUAAGUGAAGUUCAAUAUGCAACAAGUUGCAUAUUGGCGGAACUCGACAUACGAAUUAUUUAGUUCUAUCCCGAUUAGGUACACGGCAAUAUUAAUUGUGGAUAAACAUGGCAAGAGGUGAAGCGUAAUUAAUCUACCUAGCGCAUAUUAAAUGAGGUCGGAAAUGAGAUAUAGCAUCUCCGAGAUGACCUCAUGCGUUAAUUUAUAAUUCUGUCCAGAUCUGAACUAACAUGUUUUAAUAUUUGUUAAACAGAAAAAUAAAUAGGUUCACGUGAUUCUACGCGACGUUCCAAUCAAUUUAUACAUAGAGAACAUCUCCAACGGAGCUACGGUUCAAAAGAUGUGAUCAACGCAAGAUAUGAUGGCAUGAAUGCAAUAUGUGUGCAACCACAGUCACAAGCAUUCCGAAACAUACAAACGUCAGGUUAAUAUGAAACUACACGAGAUUCUAAGCCAGUUUCAUAUAGGACACGAUCAAAACGGAGCAACGGUUCAACAACUACAAGCUAUACAAGAUAUAGACAUAAUUUGCCAAAAUAGAGGUCAAGAUGCACUACAACAUACAACUAAUAACAUCUACCAUGGAAGCAUGGAUCACUAGGAAAAGAACUCACAAAAUGGCAUCUCACACCCAGUUUCAGACUUAGCGAAAAUAUCAGUUUUAGAUAGUGCAGUUUUCGAUCUGAAGGCAUGUUGACAGCAGCACAACUAUAUGCUACAGGACUUCAAAUGGCAUGAAAAUUCAUAGCAUGCUAGAGCAUCUUAAGGGCUACAACUAACUCCAUUGCACCAACCUCAAAAGAUGUAUAGAUCACCAGAUAAACUCAUGACCAGACAACAACAAAAUAUAACAGAUUUCAGACUUAGAAAUAUUUCAACAUCUCCAAAACAGCACUAUUUCUAGCAUGUUUAAAGCAAGCAAACACCACCUAAACAUGGAUUUCUAUUGCAACCAAAAUUAUCAGAGGCUAGCCUACACAUCCAAGGGCAUAUCUCUAGUUGACAACUCAUUCAUAUGAUGCACGAAUUAAAUCCCACAAAAUAAACAAAACGGCAACAUGGCAAAAUAUCACACGCACUAACUUGCUCAAAAGCUAAAACUACAUGCACAGUUAGAUUCUAUGGAUUUUUCUACCCCGAAAACAUAUAUAAUAUGUGGGGUUGCAAAAUAAAAACAUCACCACACGUAUAUGCGAGAAUAUGUCCUAAACGCGAUAUAACAAACUAGUGACGGAACCUACAUGCAAAAAUGCAAACAACUACUCUAAUAUACUUGGCAAAUGGUCCCUAUAAUGUGAGCUUUCAAACUACAUCAUUUGAGCAAUCCGGACACGCGCGAAAAUAAAUACGGGGUAAUCAACAUAUUAGGACAACACGCAAAACUAGGCAUAUGGCGGAUCAAAUCGCUCCAAACAUGCUUGCAAGUUGAAAAAUAAUAAUCUACGCGGAAAACUAAUCAAGUUCCAUAUAUAAUUCAUUCUGAUCCGAUGCACGGAUAAUAAACUACCCGCGUUUUUAAAAUCUAGCAAUUUUCUGAAAUUGGAUUAAUUCGCAGGAAAUAUAAUAAAACCUACGGGCCGAAUCUACACAUGGGCCAAAACAGAGCAGGACGCUACUUAGUAAUCCUACACACGGGCGACGAAUAGGGGGAUAAGGGGGGGUGCUCACCCUGCGCUUGGGCCGGCUGAAGAGGAGGAGGCGGCCUGGUUUGGGGCGGUUCUGGGCCUCGCCUGGCUCGUGGGCCACGGCGGUUGAGGCGAGGAGGCUGGCGGGGCGCGCGGCCAGGCGCUGGGAAGGAGCCCGGCCCCGAUCGUGGCGUGGUCAACGCCCGAGGCGAGCGAGCGCGAGGAACGCUCGAGCGGGGAGGCUCCUCCUCGCCCGCUCGAGGCCCACGCGCAAGCCGGCGCGUUGCAGAUCUGGCGAGGGCGGGCCCGGGCAGUCAACAGAUCUGACGAGAUCCCGAUCCAGCUCCCGCAUGUGGUGGCGGCGCCCAACGCGAUGGGAGGAGGGAGAGCAGGGACGGGGAGCAGGGUCAGGAGGCGAGGGAUGCCGAGGGGUGGCGCGGCUGGGUGCGGCGGCGACGUGGAGUAGAUGGCGCUCGGCUCGGGGCAUCACGGGGCCAGGGCGAGCAGGCGGCGGCGCGGACGAACCGGGCUCGGGCGCGCUUGCCGUGGGCCUGGCGGACUGCGGCGCUGGGAGGUGAGAGAGGCUACGGUGGGGAGGAGAGAGGAGGCUAGGGUUUGCACGCAAAUCGAGGAGAGAGGGGAUUUGCUGUCUAAAAUGGCAUGGGUGUCUAUUUAUAACAAUGGGGGGCUAGGUUUAGCAGUUUUUCGCCUCUGUUUCAACCGCGCGAUCUAAAUCGGACGGUUUCAAACGGGGGAAAGGCUAAGUGGCCAUGUAGAGUAGGCUAGCCGUUGAUGAGAGGGAAACGGGCACCCGACAACGUGAUUUUUAAGACACCAAAAAAAAGUCUGACGAUUGACCGAAUACGGUGCCGCUACGAUCGACCAUUCGGGUACGAGACGGACUCCGAUUGUGACAAAAAUUGGCAGGCGGUCUACCUACAUCUAAAUAAGACCGCACGAUAAGUCCCAACUCAAUCAGAGAAUAUUUUAAAACACACUUUUAAAAACAAGGUUUUAACGAUGUCGCGGGCGCGUGCGAGUGUGGUCGGGCUCGAGACGGUCAACGACGAAACGGAGAGCACCGCAACUAAUAAUGGAUGCAAGUUUUGAAAACUGGCGGCAACGGGAUGCUGAUGCUAUGCGGAUGAUGCAAAUGAUGCGAUGAUGAUGCGACAAAUAAAAAUAAUCACACGACGAAAACGGAAUAAAGGGGGAAUCUUCUGGAACCUCGGUCUUGGGUUGUCACAAUUAUGGAGGUGAUAAAAGAGUUCGUCGUAAAGGGUUACGUUGAUGCAAGCUUUGACACUAAUGCGGAUGACUUUGAGAAGUAAACCUGAUUCGUAUAGUGGAGCAGUCAUUUGGAAUAGUUCCAAAUGGCACGUUGGUAGCGGCACCUACACGAUGACAUAGAGAUUUGUAUAGCACACUCAGAUCUGAAAGGUUCAGACUCAUUGACUAAAAAUCUCUCUCACAAGCAAGACAUGAUCGAACCCUAGAACUGUAUGGGUGUUGGAUUCGUUAAGAUCACAUAGUGAUGUGAACUAGAUUAUUGACUCUAGUGCAAGUGGGAGACUCUUGGAAAUAUUCCCUAGAGGCAAUAAUAAAUUAGUUAUUAUUAUAUUUCCUUGUUCAUGAUAAUCGUUUAUUAUCCGUGCUAGAAUUGUAUUGAAUGGAAACUCAAAUACAUGUGUGGAUACAUAGGCAACACAUUGUCCCUAGUGAGCCUCUAGUUGACUAGCUCGUUAUUCAAAGAUGGUCAAGGUUUCCUCGCCAUAGACAAGUGUUGUUACUUGAUAACGGGAUCACAUCAUUAGGAGAAUGAUGUGACGGACAAGACACAAACUAUGAACAUAGCAUAUGAUUAUGUUAUUUAAUUGCUACUGUUUUCUGCAUGUCAAUGUAUCUGUCCUAUGACCAUGAGAUCAUGCAACUACCGGACACCGGAGGAAUGCCUCGUGUGUAUCAAACGCCGCAACGUAACUGGGUGACUAUAAAGGUGCUCUACACGUAUCUCUGAAGGUGUUUGUUGGGUUUUCGUGAAUCAAGACUAAGAUUUGUCACUCUGUGUGACGGAGAGGUAUCUCAGGUCCCACUCGGUAAUGCAACAUCACAACAAGCCUUGCAAGCAAUAUGACUAAAGAGUUAGUCACGAGAUCUUGUAUUAUGGAACGAGUAAAGAUACUUACCGGUAACGAGAUUGAACUAGGUAUGUGAUACGUCUCCAACGUAUCUAUAAUUUUUGAUGGUUUCAUGCUAUUAUCUUGUCAAACUUUGGAUGUUUUGCAUGCUUUUUGUUUAUUUUCUGGGACUAACUUAUUAACUCAGUGCCAAGUGGCAGUUCCUAUUUUUUCCAUGUUUUUGACCCCUUUCAGAGAAGAUUUUAAAACGGGGUACAAACGGAAGAAAAUCACCGAAAAGAUUUUUUUGGAACGGAAGAAGAUCGGAGAACUUGGGAGCCAAGCCAGAGGAGCGUGAGGGGCCCCACAAGCCCCCACCCUGCAGCCAGGGGAUUUAUGAUCAGAUUAUCUAUGAAUUUUAUUUGAGUUUCUUCUGAUCUCUCUUAUGCAUGAUUUCAUAUCCUUGUAAUUCUCUUCGAGUGGUGGGUUUUGCCUGGCCAACUAGAUCUAUGAUUCUUGCAAUGGGAGAAGUGCUUGGUUUUGGGUUCAUACCGUGCGGUGACCUCACCCAGUGACAGAAGGGGUAGCGAGGCACGCAUCGUGUUGUUGCCAUCAAGGGUAAAAAGAUGAGGUUUUCAUCGUUGGUUUAAGAUUAUCCCUCUACAUCAUGUCAUCUUCCUUAAAGCGUUACUCUGUUCGUCAUGAACUCAAUACACUAGAUGCAUGCUGGAUAGCGGUCGAUGUGUGGAGUAAUAGUAGUAGAUGCAGAAAGUAUCGGUCUACUUGUCUCGGACGUGAUGCCUAUAUGCAUGAUUAUUGCCUUAGUUAUCGUCAUGACUUUGCGCGGUUCUAUCAAUUGCUCGACAGUAAUUUGUUCACCCACCAUGAUACUUGCUAUUUUGAGAGAAGCCUCUAGUGAACACUAUGGCCCCCAGGGUCUACUCCACACCAUAUUUUCAGCCUUACACUUUUUACUUUGUUGCACUUUCCGCCUUUAGAUCUCACUUUGCAAACAAUCUUGAAGGGAUUGACAACCCCUUUGAAGCGUUGGGUGCAAGCUUGUUUAUGUUUGCGCAUGUACUUUGGACUUGACGAGUCCCUCCUUCUGCAUCGGUACCUUGGUUCUCAAACUGAGGGAAAUACUUACUGCUCGUGUGCGGCAUCACCCUUUCCUCUUCAAGGGAAAAACCAGAGAAGUAACAAGAAGAAUUCCUAAGCGCCAGGGAAGGACUUUUGUUGCCGUAGCAGAAGAAUUUCUAGGGCCGUUGCCGGGGAGGAAGAAUAAGUCAAGAACUCAUCCAAGUAGGUGUCGCAAACUCAUCUCUUGCAUUUACUUUGUUUGCCAGUUGCCUCCCGUUUUCCUCUCCCCCACUUCACUAGUUUGCCUUUUUCGUUUGCCUUUUUCGUUCGCCUUUUCGUUCGCCUUUCUUCUCUCUCUUGCUUUCUGCUCGUCUAUGUGGGAUAGUCUGUCCUGCUGGCUAUAUCCACCACUUCGAAUGAUACUCCCGAGAGUGAAGUUCUCAAUUUCAAACAAAUUGAGGGAGAAAACUUAAAGGACGCUUGGUAUAGCAUUUGCAAUGCUCAGAGUAGAUCUACUCAUAAGCAAUCCACUACCGUCUUGCUUCGCAGUUUUUAUGUGGGUAUUUCUCCUUGGAAUAGGUAUAUUCUUUACACCAUUGUAGGGGGAAAUUUCUUGGGUAGCCAUACCGUUGAUUCUUACGGAGCUGUGAUAAAUUUGGUAGGCUCACCCCCACUCAUGGUUAAUGGAACUACCUUAACUCUGGAACAUGUGAUGCGUAGGCUGGACGCUAUUGAAAAUAAAGUUGCUACGAUUGAACUCAUUGAGAAUUUGGAUAAAAAGAUCCACAAUCAAAUCACUCAGUACGGAUCCAAGGUGGGAAUGGUUUUGAAAAAUUUAAAGGAGAAGGAACCCACAGUUAACGAAAAGCUAGGUCAUGAUUCCGCUAGGAUUGGAAAACUAGAGGAUGUUAUAACCAACUUGGGUUCCGCUUUUGGUGCUGUGCAGAAUACUCCAAAUUUUGCCCACAAUAAAAUCACCAAGUCUGUCUUUGUUCCUAAAAGUAGUGGUGAAUCAUCUAGCAAGAAAGAUGAAAACCUGAAGAUGAUAAGUGAUCACGCCACUUAUGGUUUGAGCACCAAAGACGACGAUACGUGAUUCUAUCGCUUCUAUGCCUAGCUAAGGGCGUUAAACAAUAGCGCUUGUUGGGAGGCAACCCAAUGAAUUUAUCUUUUUAUUUAUGUUUUGUUGCGUCCACACCAUCAUAAUUCUGUUAUGAUUGUGUUUUUUGUGUUUCUUUUUGUGUUUGAGCCAAGCAAAAUCCUUAUGACUAGUCUUGGUAAUGGUUGUUUGAUCCUGCUGGAAAAAGAUAGAAACUUUUCGCUCACGAUAUGAGUUUUCAUUUUUAUUCAGAAAGAAAUUUUGAGUUUAUUAUGUUUGAUGCUGAUUGAUAUGCUUUUUCCCUAGGGCGUCGUCAUUUUUCAGAGUUUUUGAGGUACCAGAAGUAUACGAAGUAUACUGAUUGCUACAGACUCGUCUGUUUUUGACAGAUUCUGUUUUUGUUGAGUUGGUUGCUUGUUUUGAUGAAACUAUGGUUAGUAUAGGGGGGUAUUAGCCAUGGAAAAGUGAGAAUACAGUAUCCCAUCAUCAAUAUAGAUGGAAUUCAAGUUUGCUACAGUACCAAAAUAAGUGGUAGUUUGUUUUCUUGUACUAAUGUUAUCACAAGUUUCUGUUUAAGUUUUGUGUUGUGAAGUUUUCAAGUUUUGGGUGACGUUCUCAUGCCACAAAGAGAUAAGGAGUGGAAAGAGCUCAAUCUUGGGGAUGCCCAAGGCAUCCCAAGCCAAAUUCAAGGACACCAAAAAUCCUAAGCUUGGGGAUGCCCCGGGAAGGCAUCCCCUUUUUAGUCUUCAAUCCAUCGGUAACAUUACUUGGAGCUAUAUUUUUAUUCACCACAUGAUAUGUGUUUUGCUUGGAGCGUCUUGUAUCUUAGGAGUCUUUUCUUUUUGUUGUGUCACAAUCAUCCUUGCUGCACACCUUUUUGAGAGAGAGAGACAUGCACUCAUCAUGUUUUUUCUAGAAUGCUCAUAGUGCUUCACUUAUAUCUUUUGAGAUAGAUACUUUUGCUCUAGUGCUUCACUUAUAUCUUUUGAGCUAGAUACUUUUGCUCUAGUGCUUCACUUAUAUCUUUUGAGCUAGAUACUUUUGCUCUUGUGCUUCACUUAUAUCUUUAGAGCACGGCGGUGCGUGAUUUGGUAGUUGGCUUAUGCUAUGAAAGUAGUCCCAAAUGUGAUAGGUACCCAAAGAGGAUGCAAAAACCUCCAUCUUCAUGUGCAUUGAGUAGAAAGAGAAGUUUUGAUUCCUCUCAAUUAGUUUUGAGACGUGGAUUCGGCAAUAUUGAGAGUUAUGUUAGUAGGGUGUUGUGAAUCUAGAGAUACUUGUGUUGGAGUUAGUGAUUCCCGUAGUAUGCACGUAUGGUGAACCGCUAUGUUAGGAAGUCCGAGCAUAAUUGAUCUAUUGAUUGUCAUCCUUUGUGUUGAGGUCGGGAUCGCGUGAUGGUUUAUACCUACCAACCCUUCCCCUCGGAGUAUGCAUUUAGCACUUUGUUUCGAUUACUAAUAAAAACUUUCGCAACAAGUAUGUGAGUUCUUUAUGACUAAUGUGAGCCCAUGGUAUAGAUGCACUUUCACCUUCCACCAUUGCUAGCCUCUCUAGUGCUGCGCAAUUCUCGCCGGUGCACAAACCCACCAAAUUCCUUCCUCAAAACAGCCACCAUACCUACCUACUAUGGCAUUUUCAUAGCCAUUCCGGGAUAUAUUGCCGUGCAACUCCCACCGUUCCGUCUCAUGACUUGUGCCGUCACUCUCAUAUUGCCAUUGCAUGAUCGUAAGAUAGCUAGCGAGAUGUUUCAAUGUCAUAUGCCAUGCUAGAUCAUUGGACAUCCGGUACACUGCCGGAGGCAUUUCCUACGGAGUCAUCAUCAUUGUGAUCUUUGAGCUUCGAGUAACUACUAGCAAAAGGACCCGUGCGUUGCAACGGGAGAAAAAAAUUAUAAUCUCCAAUGAUGCUGAUCAUAUUAUGUCUUUAAAAUUUUAGGACAUUUCUUGAAAUGCAUGAUAAUUUUUUGAAUUAGGAAACAUUUUUUUCAAUUGCACUCAAAAACUAACACACAAACUUUUUUUUCAAAAUCAUGGACUUUUAUUGUUUUCACCAACAUUGUUCUCAAAAUUAUGAACAUUUUUCUGAAUAUGUGAAUAUUUUUACAAAAAUUCUAAGCAUUUUUUGAAUUCACAAACAUUUUAUAUUUUCUUCAAACUUUUAUUUCAAAAUUCCCAGUUUUAUAAAUUGCAAAAGUUUUUCAAAGUUCUAAAUUAUUUAAAAUAAAAAAUGGAACAGGAAAAUAAAAAUAAAAAAUGAGACUAAAACACAGGCACGAACUGUUUUUAAGAUUUUUACACGAACUUUUGUUUAAAAUCGUUGACUUUUUUAUUUUAUGGACAUUUUCUCAAAGUUUAAAUAUAUUUUUAUAUGCAAACAUUUUUCAAAACUCCUGAGUAGAUUUUGAAUUCUAAAAAAAAUGUUUUUUUGAAUAUUUUAUUUCGAAAUUCUCAGUUUCUUAAAAUUGAGAAAAGUUGUUUGAAGUUCUAAAUUAUUUAAAGUAGAAAAACAAAAUGGAACUGAAAAGAAAAAAUAAAAAAACUAAACUAAAAACACACGCGCCCACGCAUGGGCCGACCCAAACAGGUGUGUUGUAUCAUUUUCCAACGCCUAGAGCGUAAUAUAGGAGGUGCCUACAUGGGCCGGCCCAGUACGAAGAUUUUCCUGUUUGAAACGUUUUUUCUGACUUAUAGGUGGCAUUGGUGGGUAAUUUUAGUCAACUUUAAGGACAAUUUGAAUGACGUACGGAAGAAGCACUAUUUGCUUUGUUAGUAGGUAAAGAAAAAGUGUGAUGAUCAUCACUAUUAGAGCAUUGUCCCAUGUGAGGAAAAAAAAGAGGCCAAAGAGCCCAAAAAAAGGAGGCCUAAGAGCCCAAAUAAAAAACAGAGAAAAAGAGAGAAGGGACAAUGCUACUAUCUUUUUCCACACUUGUGCUUCAUGUUAGCACCAUGUUCUUCAUGACUGAGAGCUUCUUGCUUUGUCACUGCCAUAUGCUAGUGGGAAUCUUCGUUUUAUAACUUGGCUUGUAUAUUCCAAUGAUGGGCUUCCUCAAAAUUUCCCUAGGUCUUCGUGAGCAAGCAAGUUGGAUGCACAACCACUAGUUUUCCUCUUGAGCUUUCACAUACUUAUAGCUCUAGUGCAUCUCUUGUAUGGCAAUCCCUACUCACUCACAUUGAUAUCUAUUAAUGGGCAUCUUCAUAGCCUAUUGAUACGCCGAGUCAAUGUGACCAUCCCCUCCUUUUUGUCUCACAACCACCACCACACUCUAUUCCACCUAUAGUGCUAUAUCCAUGGCUCACGCUCAUGUAUUGCGUGAUAGUUAUAAAAGUUUGAGAAAAUAAGAGUGUGAAAACAAUUACUUGGCCAAUUCCGGGGUUGUGCAUGAUUUACAUUAGUUGUGUGAGGAUGAUGGAGCAUAUCCAGCCUAUAUGAUUUUGUAGGGAUAACUUUUUUUGGCCUUGUUAUUUUGAAAGUUCAUGAUUACUUUACUAGUUUGCUUGAAGUAUUAUUGUUUUCAUGUCAAUAGCAAACUAUUCUUUUGAAUCUUACGGAUCUGAACAUUCAUGCCACAUGAAAGAAGUUGCAAAGGACAACUAUGCUAGGUAGCCUGAAAGCAUCAAAAAUUCAUUCUUUAUCACUUCCCUACUCGAGGACGAGCAGGAGUUAAGCUUGGGGAUGCUUGAUACGUCUCCAACAUAUCUAUAAUUUUUGAUGGUUUCAUGCUAUUGUCUUGUCAAACUUUGGAUGUUUUGCAUGCUUUUUAUUUAUUUUUUGGGACUAACUUAUUAACUCAGUGCCAAGUGUCAGUUCCUGUUUUUUCCAUGUUUUAACCCCUUUCAAAGGAGAUUUUGAAAUGGAGUCCAAACGGAAGAAAAUCCCCGAAAAGAUUUUUUUUGGAACGGAAGAAGAUCGGAGAACUUGGGAGCCAAGCCAGAGGAGCGCCAGGAGGCCCACAAGCCCCCACCCCGCGGCGAGAGGGGCGCCAUCCAGGCUUGUGGGUUCGAUGGAGGUCCCCUGACCUAGAUCUUGCGCCUAUAUAUUCCCAAAUAUUCCCAAAAAAUCAGGAGACGAUCGCUAUUACUUUUCCACCGCCGCAAGCUUCUGUCUCCGCAAGAUCCCAUCUGGGCACAUCCUGGUGCCCUGCCGAAGGGGGGAUUCGGACACGGAGGGCUUCUUUAUCAACACCAUGACCUCUCCGAUGAUGCUAGAGUAGUUCACCAUAGACCUACGGGUCCAUAGCUAGUAACUAAAUGGCUUCUUCUCUCUCUUGGAUCUUCAAUACAAAGUUCUCCAUGAUCUUCAUGGAUAUCUAUCCGAUGUAAUCUUCUUUUGCGGUGUGUUUGUCGAGAUCCGAUGAAUUGUGGAUUUAUGAUCAGAUUAUCUAUGAAUCUUAUUUGAGUUUCUGCAGAUCUCUCUUAUGCAUAAUUUCAUAUCCUUGUAAUUCUCUUCGAGUUGUGGGUUUUGUCUGGCCAACUAGAUCUAUGAUUCUUGCAAUGGGAGAAGUGCUUGCUUUUGGGUUCAUACCGUGCGGUGACCUCACCCAGUGACAGAAGGGGUAGCGAGGCACAUAUCGUGUUGUUGCCAUAAAGGGUAAAAAGAUGGGGUUUUCAUCAUUGGUUUGAGAUUAUCCCUCUACAUCAUGUCAUCUUGCUUAAAGCGUUACUCUGUUUGUCAUGAACUCAAUACACUAGAUGCAUGCUGGAUAGCGGUCGAUGUGUGGAGUAAUAGUAGUAGAUGCAGAAAGUAUCGGUGUACUUGUCUCGGACGUGAUGCCUAUAUGCAUGACCAUUGCCUUAGAUAUCGUCAUGACUUUGCGCGGUUCUAUCAAUUGCUCGACGGUAAUUUGUUCACCCACCGUGAUACUUGCUUUUUUGAGACAAGCCUCUAGUGAACACUAUGGCCCCCAGGGUCUACUCCACACCAUAUUUUCAGCCUUACACUGUUUACUUUGUUGCACUUUCCACCUCCAGAUCUCACUUUGCAAACAAUCUUGAAGGGAUUGACAACCCCUUUGAAGCGUUGGGUGCAAGCUUGUUUGUGUUUGCGCAGGUGCUUUGGACUUGACGAGGCCCUCCUUCUGGAUCGAUACCUUGGUUCUAAAACUGAGGGAAAUACUUAUUGCUCCUGUGCUGCAUCACCCUUUCCUCUUCAAGGGAAAAACUAACGCAAACCAGAGAAGUAACAAGAAGAAUUCCUAAGCGCCAGGGCAGGACUUUUGUUGCCAUAGCAGUAUGGAGAUACCGAUGAUCGAAUCUCGCGCAAGUAACAAACCGAAGGACAAAGGGAACAACAUACGUGAUUAACUGAAUCCUUGACAUAGAGGUUCAACCGAUAGAGAUAUUCGUAGAAUAUGUAAAUGUUGGAAUUAUGCCCUAGAGGCAAUAAUAAAUAUAGUUAUUAUUAUAAUUCAUGUAUCAAGAUAAUCGUUUAUUAUCCAUGCUAUAAUUGUAUUGAAUGAAGACUCAUUUACAUGUGUGGAUACAUAGAGAAAACACUAUCCCUAGCAAGCCUCUAGUUGGCUAGCCAGUUGAUCAAAGAAAGUCAGUGUCUUCUGAUUAUGAACAAGGUGUUGUUGCUUGAUAACUGGAUCACGUCAUUAGGAGAAUCACGUGAUGGACUAGACCCAAACUAAUAGACGUAGCAUGUUGAUCGUGUCAUUUUGUUGCUACUGUUUUCUGCGUGUCAAAUAUUUGUUCCUAUGACCAUGAGAUCAUAUAACUCACUAACACCGGUGGAAUACUUUGUGUGUAUCAAACGUCGCAACGUAACUGGGUGACUAUAAAGAUGCUCUACAGGUAUCUCCGAAGGUGUUCGUUGAGUUNNNNNNNNNNNNNNNNNNNNNNNNNNNNNNNNNNNNNNNNNNNNNNNNNNNNNNNNNNNNNNNNNNNNNNNNNNNNNNNNNNNNNNNNNNNNNNNNNNNNNNNNNNNNNNNNNNNNNNNNNNNNNNNNNNNNNNNNNNNNNNNNNNNNNNNNNNNNNNNNNNNNNNNNNNNNNNNNNNNNNNNNNNNNNNNNNNNNNNNNNNNNNNNNNNNNNNNNNNNNNNNNNNNNNNNNNNNNNNNNNNNNNNNNNNNNNNNNNNNNNNNNNNNNNNNNNNGGGUCCUUGGACUCUAAGGCAAGGCUCCCCCUCUUCCCCCUAUAUAUACGGAGGUUUUAGGGCUGAUUUGAUACGACUUUUCCACGGCAGCCCGACCACAUACCUCCACGGUUUUUCCUCUAGAUCGCGUUUCUGCGGAGCUCGGGUGGAGCCCUGCUGAGACAAGAUCAGCAACAACCUCCGGAGCGCCGUCACGCUGCCGGAGAACUCUUCUCCCUCUCCGUCUCUCUUGCUGGAUCAAGAAGGCCGAGAUCAUCGUCGAGCUGUACGUGUGCUGAACGCGGAGGUGCCGUCCGUUCGGCACUAGAUCGUGGGACUGAUCGCGGGACGGUUCGCGGGGCGGAUCGAGGGAUGUGAGGACGUUCCACUACAUCAACCACGUUCACUAACGCUUCUGCUGUACGGUCUACAAGGGUAGGUAGAUCACACAUCCCCUCUCGUAGAUGGACAUCACCAUGAUAGGUCUUCGUGCGCGUAGGAAAAUUUUAGUUUCCCAUGCGACGUUCCCCAACAGUGGCAUCAUGAGCUAGGUUCAUGUGUAGAUGUAUUCUCGAGUAGAACACAAAAGUUUUUGUGGGCGGUGAUGUGCGUUUUGCUGCCCUCCUUAGUCUUUUCUUGAUUCCGCGGUAUUGUUGGAUCGAAGCGGCUCGGACCGACAUUACUCGUACGCUUACGAGAGACUGGUUUCAUUGCUACGAGUAACUCCGUUGCUCAAAGAUGACUGGCGGGUGUCAGUUUCUCCAACUUUAGUUGAAUCAGAUUUGACCGAGGAGGUCCUUGGAUGAGGUUAAAUAGCAACUCAUAUAUCUCCAUUGUGGUGUUUGCGUAAGUAAGAUGCGAUCCUACUAGAUACCCAUGGUCACCACGUAAAACAUGCAACAACAAAAUUAGAGGACAUCUAACUUGUUUUUGCAGGGUAUGCUUGUGAUGUGAUAUGGCCAACGAUGUGAUGUGAUAUAUUGGAUGUAUGAGAUGAUCAUGUUGUAAUAGAUAAUAUCGACUUGCACGUCGAUGGUACGGCAACCGGCAGGAGCCAUAGGGUUGUCUUUAUACUAACGUUUGUGCUUGCAGAUGCGUUUACUAUUUUGCUAGGAUGUAGCUUUAGUAGUAAUAGCAUGAGUAGCACGACAACCCCGAUGGCAACACGUUGAUGGAGAUCAUGGUGUGGCGCCGGUGACAAGAAGAUCGUGUCGGUGCUUGGUGAUGGAGAUCAAGGAGCACGUGAUGAUGGCCAUAUCAUGUCACUUAUGAAUUACAUGUGAUUUUAAUCCUUUUAUGCACCUUAUUUUGCCUAGAAUGACGGUAGCAUUAUGAGGUGAUCUCUCACUAAAAUUUCAAGACGAAAUUGUGUUCUCCCCGACUGUGCACCGUUGCUACAGUUCGUCGUUUCGAGACACCACGUGAUGAUCGGGUGUGAUAGACUCAACGUUCACAUACAACGGGUGCAAAACAGUUGCGCACGUGGAACACUCGGGUUAAGCUUGACGAGCCAAGCAUGUGCAGACAUGGCCUCGGAACACAUGAGACCGAAAGGUCGAUCAUGAAUCAUAUAGAUGAUAUGAUUAGCAUUGGGAUGCUUACCACUGAAACUAUGCUCAACUCACGUGAUGAUCGGACUUGAGCUAGUGUAAGUGGAUCAUGAACCACUCAAAUGACUAGAGAGAUGUACUUUUUGAGUGGGAGUUUAGCGAGUAAUUUGAUUAAGUUAAAGUCUAAUUAUCUUGAACAUAGUCUAAGUCCACUUUGAAUAUAUUUGUGUUGUAGAUCAUGGCUCACGCGACAGUCACCCUGAAUUUUAAUACGUUCCUAGAGAAAGCUAAGUUGAAAGAUGAUGGAAGCAACUUUGUAGACUGGGCUCGUAAUCUUAAGCUAAUCUUACAAGCUGAGAAGAAGGAUUAUGUCCUUAAUGCUGCGCUAGGAGAUGAACCACCCGAUACGGCUGAUCAGGAUGUUAAGAACGCUUGGUUAGCACGUAAGGAGGACUACUCAGUAGUUCAAUGUGCAGUCUUGUAUGGCUUAGAACCGGGACUUCAACGUCGCUUUGAGCGUCAUGGAGCAUUUGAGAUGUUCCAGGAGUUGAAGUUUAUCUUUCAAAAGAAUGCCCGGAUCGAGAGGUAUGAGACCUCCGAUAAAUUCUCUGCUUGCAAGAUGGAGGAGAACUCGUCUGUCAGUGAACAUGUGCUCAAAAUGUCUGGGUACUCAAACCGUCUAGCUGAGCUGGGGAUUGAACUCCCGCAAGAAGCUAUCACUGACAGAAUCCUUCAAUCACUGCCGCCAAGCUAUAAAGGCUUUGUGUUGAACUACAACAUUGAAAGGGAUGAACAAGUCUCCCGGCGAGUUGUUUGUGAUGCUGAAAGUCGCAGAGUCUGAACUCCGUAAAGAGCAUCAAGUGUUGAUGGUGAAUAAGACCACUAGUUUCAAGAGAAACGGGAAAGGCAAGAAGGGUAAUUCAAAGAAGAGCGGCAAGCCUGUUGCCAAUCCGACGAAGAAACCCAAAGCUGGACCUAAGCCUGAAACAGAGUGUUACUAUUGCAAGCGUAUGGGUCACUGGAAGCGCAAUUGCCCCAAGUAUCUGGCGGAUAAGAAGGCGGCCAAAGAAAAAUCAGGUAUAUUUGAUAUACAUGUUAUUGAUGUGUACUUAACCGGCUCUCAUAGUAGUGCCUGGGUAUUCGAUACCGGUUCUGUUGCUCAUAUUUGCAACACGAAACAGGAACUGCGGAAUAGACGAAGGCUGGCGAAGGAUGAUGUGACGAUGCGUGUAGGAAAUGGUUCCAAGGUUGAUGCAAUCGCCGUCGGCACAGUUUCACUUCAGUUACCAUCAGGAUUAGUUAUGAACUUUAAUCAUUGUUAUUUAGUGCCUGUGUUGAGCAUGAACAUUAUAUUUGGAUCUUGUUUAUUGCGAGACGGUUACUCUUUUAAGUCAGAGAAUAAUGGUUGUUCUAUUUCUACGAGUAACAUCUUUUAUGGCCAUGCACCCAAUGUGAGAGGAUUGUUCAUAUUGAAUCUUGAUAGCGAUACACACAUACAUAACAUUGAGACCAAAGAGUUAGAGUUAACAAUGAUAGCGCCAUAUUUUUGUGGCACUGCCGCUUAGGUCAUAUUGGUGUAAAGCGCAUGAAGAAACUCCAUGCCGAUGGAAUUUUGGAGUCACUUGACUUUGAUUCACUUGACACGUGCGAACCAUGCCUCAUGGGCAAGAUGACUAAAACUCCGUUCUCCGGAACAAUGGAGCGUGCAAGUGACUUGUUGGAAAUCAUACAUACCGAUGUGUGUGGUCCGAUGAGCGUAGAGGCACGCGGCGGAUAUCGUUAUUUUCUCACCUUCACUGACGAUUUGAGUAGAUAUGGUUAUGUCUACUUAAUGAAGCACAAGUCUGAAACAUUUGAAAAGUUCAAGCAAUUUCAGAGUGAAGUUGAAAAUCAUCAUAACAAGAAGAUCAAGUUCCUAUGGUCUGAUCGUGGGGGUGAAUAUCUGAGUUUCGAGUUUGCUGCUCACUUAAGACAAUGUGGAAUUGUUUCACAAUUGACACCGCCUCGAACACCACAGCGUAAUGGUGUGUCCGAACGUCGUAAUCGUACUUUAUUAGAGAUGGUGCGAUCUAUGAUGUCUCUUACCGAUUUGCCAUUAUCAUUUUGGGGUUAUGCAUUAGAAACAGCUGCAUUCACUUUAAAUAGGGCACCAUCAAAAUCCGUUCAGACGACACCAUACGAUCUGUGGUAUGGCAAAAGGCCAAAGUUGUCGUUUCUUAAAGUUUGGGGAUGUGAUGCUUAUGUCAAAAAGCUUCAGCCUGAAAAGCUGGAAUCCAAAACGGAAAAGUGCAUCUUCAAAGGUUACCCAAAAGAGAUAGUUGGGUACACCUUCUAUCUCAAAUCCGAGGGCAAAGUGUUUGUUGCUAAAAACGGAGCUUUUCGCAAGAAGUAGUUUCUCUCGAGAGAAUUGAGUGGGAGGAUAGAACUUGACGAGGUUGUCGAACCUCUCAUCCCUAUGGAUGGUGGCGCAGGGAAAGGGGAAACCUCUGUCAUUGCGACGCCGGUUGAGGAGGAAGUUAAUGAUGAUGAUCAUGAAACUCCGGUUCAAGUUUCUGUUGAACCACGCAGGUCGACGAGACCACGUGCUGCUCAAGAGUGGUACGGUAAUCCCGUCUUAUCAAUCAUGUUGUUAGACAACAAUGAACCUGCAAAUUAUGAAGAAGCAAUGGUGGGCCCAGAUUCCAACAAAUGGCUAGAAGCCAUGAAGUCCGAGAUAGGAUCCAUGUAUGAGAACAAAGUGUGGACUUUGGAAGUACUGCCUGAGGGCCACAAGGCUAUUCAGAACAAAUGGAUCUUUAAGAGGAAGACGGACGCUGACGGCAAUGUGACCGUUUAUAAAGCUCGACUUGUGGCAAAGGGUUUUUCACAAGUUCAAGGAGUUGACUACGAUUAGACAUUCUCACCCGUAGCGAUGCUUAAGUCCGUCAGAAUCAUGUUAGCAAUAGCUGCAUUUUUCGAUUAUGAAAUCUGGCAGAUGGAUGUCAAAACGGCGUUCCUUAACGGUUUCCUUAAGGAAGAGUUGUAUAUCAUGCAACCCGAAGGUUUUGUCGGUCCUAAGAAUGCUAAGAAGGUGUGCAAGCUCCAGCGAUCCAUUUAUGGACUGGUGCAAGCAUCUCGGAGUUGGAACAAACGCUUUGAUGAGGUGAUCAAAGCAUUUGGGUUUAUACAAGUGGUUGGAGAAUCUUGUAUUUACAAGAAAGUGAGUGGGAGCUCUGUGGCGUUUCUAAUAUUAUAUGUGGAUGACAUAUUGCUGAUUGGAAACAACGUAGAGUUUUUGGAGAGCAUAAAGGAUUACUUGAAUAAAAGUUUCUCUAUGAAGGACCUAGGAGAAGCUGCUUACAUUCUAGGCAUUAAGAUCUACAGGGAUAGAUCAAAACGCCUGAUAGGACUUUCACAAAGCACAUACCUUGAUAAAGUUUUGAAGAGGUUCAAAAUGGAACAGUCCAAGAAAGGGUUCUUGCCAGUUUUACAAGGUACGAGAUUGAGUAAGACUCAGUGCCCAGCAACUGAUAAGGAUAGAGAGCAUAUGAGCACCGUCCCCUAUGCUUCAGCCAUAGGUUCGACGUUGUUUUAUGCGUAUUUGAGUUAUAUGGUUGGUUACCGAAUGUUGUUCGGAGUCCCGGAUAAGAUCACAGACGUCACGAGGGUUUCCGGAAUGGUCCGGAAACGAAGAUUGAUAUAUAGGAUGACCUCAUUUGAUUACCGGAAGGUUUUCAGAGUUACCGGUAAUGUACCGGGAAUGACGAAUGGGUUCCGGGAGUUCACCGGGGGGGGGGGCUACCCACCUCGGGGAAGCCCAUAGGCCUUGGGGGUGGCACACCAGCCCUUAGUGGGCUGGUGGGACAACCCAAGAAGGCCCUAUGCGCCAUAGGAAGAAAAUUAAAGAGAGAAAAAAGAGGAGGUGGGAAAGGGAAGAAGGACUCCACCUUCCAAACCAAGUUGGAUUCGGUUUGGAAGGGGAGACCUUCCCCCCUUGGCUCGGCCGAAACCCUUAGGGGUCCUUGGACCCCCAAGGCAAGGCUCCCCGUUUCCCCCUAUAUAUACGGAGGUUUUAGGGCUGAUUUGAUACGACUUUUCCACGGCAGCCCGACCACAUACCUCCACGGUUUUUCCUCUAGAUCGCGUUUCUGCGGAGCUCGGGCGGAGCCCUGCUGAGACAAGAUCAGCACCAACCUCCGAAGAACCGUCACGCUGCCGGAGAACUCUUCUAUCUCUCCGUCUCUCUUGCUGGAUCAAGAAGGCCAAGAUCAUCUUCGAGCUGUACGUGUGUUGAACGCGGAGGUGCCGUCCGUUCGGCACUAGAUCGUGGGACUGAUCGCGGGACGGUUCGCGGGGCGGAUCGAGGGACGUGAGGACGUUCCACUACAUUAAUCGCGUUCACUAACGCUUCUGCUGUACGGUCUACAAGGGUAUGUAGAUCACACAUCCCCUCUCGUAGAUGGACAUCACCAUGAUAGGUCUUCGUGCGCGUAGGAAAUUUUUUGUUUCCCAUGCGACGUUCCCCAACAGUAAAAGCCUAUAUGGGCAUCCAGGCCUUCUAUUGGUUAUUGACCGGAGAAUGUCUCAGGUCAUGUCUACAUAGUUCUCGAACCAUUAGGGUCUGCAAACUUAAGGUUCGGUGACAUUUCGGUAUAGUUGAGUUAUAGGUGUUGGUGACCGAAGGUUGUUCGGAGUCCCGAAUGAGAUCUUGGACAUCAGGAGUAGCUCCACAAUGGUCCAGAGGUAAAGAUUGAUAUAUAGGAAGUCCCGUUUUGGUCACCGGAAAAGUUUCUGGCUCAUCGAUAGUGUACCAGGAGGGUGUCGGGGGACCACUGGGAUGCGUGUGAUGACCCAAGGGAUUCAUGGGCUGUGAGAGGAGGUGGACCAGCCCUUGGUUGUCUGGACGAAGCCUCCCCUAAAGGCCCAUGCGGCUGGGAGUGGAGGGAUAAGGCAAGAAAGUUUAAAAGGAAAGGAGGAAGAGUCCUCCCAAGGGAGUCCACCUCCCUUGUGGGAGGAGGACUCUCCCUUAGUUUCGGCCGAACCUCUCCUCCUUGGAGGAGGGGCCAAGGAAGCCUCCCCUCUCCCUCCUCCUAUAUAUAAUAGAGGUUUUAGAGGUGAGGGCUAACCCUAAUUGCCACGUGCUCCCUCUACUUUAUCUAGAUCGUUAUCUCCUCUUGUCUAGUUCGGCAGUGCUUAGGCAAAGCCCUGCCGAAAUAGUUCCACCACCACCACUACCACGCCGUCAUGCUGGAGAACUCAUCUACCUCUCCGCACCUCUUUCUAGAUCAAGAAGGCGGUGAUCGUCAUCGAGCUGUACGUGUGUGAUACGUCUCAAACGUAUCUAUAAUUUUUGAUGGUUUCACGCUGUUAUCUUGUCUUCUUUGGUUGUUUUAUGUACCUUUUAUAUCUUUUUGGGACUAACUUAUUAAUUCAGUGCCAAGUGCCAGUUCCUAUUUUUUCCUUGUUUUUGACUCUUUUCAGAUCUGAUUUUGGAAUGGAUUCCAAACGGAAGAAAAACCCCGAAAUGAUGUUUUCCUGAACGGAAGAAGAUCAGGGGCCUUUGGCCAAGCCAGGUGGGCUCUAGGGAGCCCACAAGUCCCCACUCCGCCACCAGGGGGAGGCGGCGGUGGGCAGGCUUGUGGCCUCCCUGGCCGCCCCCUGACCUAGAUCUUUGGCCUAUAAAUUCCCAAAUAUUCCGCAAAAAAUAAGGGGAGCCACGAAAAUACUUUUUCGCCGCCGCAAGCUUCCCUUUCCGCGAGAUCUCAUCUGGAGACCCUUCCCCGCGCCCUGCCGGAGGGGACUUUGUAGUUGGAGGGCUUCUUCAUCAUCAUAAUCACCCCUCCAAUGACUCGUGAGUAGUUCACUUCAGACCUACGGGUCCGUAGUUAGUAGCUAGAUGGCUUCUUCUCUCUCUUGGAUCUUCAAUACAAUGUUCUCCAUGAUCUUCAUGGAGAUCUAUCCGAUGUAAUCUUCUUUGGCGGUGUGUUUGUCGAGAUCCGAUGAAUUUUGGAUUUGUGACCAGAUUAUCUAUGAUAUAUAUUUGUGUCUUUGCUGAUUUCUUAUAUGCAUGAUUUGAUAUCCUUGUAAGUCUCUCCGAGUCUUGGGUUUUGUUUGGCCAACUAGAUCUAUUAUUCUCGCAAUGGGAGAAGUGCUUGGUUUUGGGUUCUGCCAUGUGGUGACCUUUCCUAGUGACAGUAGGGGUAGCAAGGCACACAUCAAGUAGUUGCCAUCAAGGGUAAAAAGAUGGGGUUUUUAUCAUUGGUUUGAGAUUAUCCCUCUACAUCAUGUCAUCUUGCUUAAGCCGUUACUCUGUUCUUAUGGACUUAAUACACUAGAUGCAUGCUGGAUAGCGAUCGACGUGUGGAGUAAUAGUAGUAGAUGCAGACAGUAUCGGUCUACUUGUUUUGGACGUGAUGCCUAUAGAAAUAAUCAUUGCAUAGAUAUCGUCACGACUUUGCGCGGUUCUAUCAAUUGCUCGACAGUAAUUUGUUCACCCACCGUCUACUUGCUUUCAUGAGAGAAGCCACUAGUAAACACUACGGCCCCCGGGUCUAUUCACAUCCAUCGUUUACACCUCCGCUUUUACUUUGCUUUGUUACUUUGUUGCUUUCAGUUCUCACUUGGCAAACAAUCUAUAAGG